UCUAAAAAUUAGUAGAAAUCAGAGCCCAAGUAAUAACUCAGUCUUGAGAAUAGUUACCUUUAUUCUCUUUCCUUGGAAAACUAAGACCUGUGCUAUUACUAACAUCCAUCCCCUUUUACAUUUAAUUUCUUGCUUAACUAACAAAUAUCAUACACAAAUUUACUGAUACACUUCUUCCCUAAUAACUCAUGCCUCUUAAGUGGAAUUUGAAGAGCUACAAGCUUCUUCAAUGACAUUCGCAACAAUUAUAAUAGUGUUAUUCAUGGUGGUUCUGGAAUUCAAUUAAUGUGAAGCGCAAUUUGAUGUUGCAACCAAUUUCAACUCGUUUUCAGGUUAAGCGCAAUUUGAUGCUUCAACCAAUUUCAACUCGUUUUCAGUUUGCUGAUACGUGAAUCUCGUUUCAAUUUGUUGCACAAAGCCUAUUCUACUGAAGUUGGUGAAGACGAUGUUGCUAGUGACUGCUUUGUUUUUGGUGAUGUUGUUUUUGUUGCUGCUGAGCCAUUAUAACAUCUAAUUAUUAUUAAGUUUUAUUCACUUGUUCGUUUUUGGAAAUUAGGCCUUGCUUAUAAACUGUUUGAUGAAAUGUCCAAAAGAGCUGGAUUUUGGAUUUACCAAAUUCAAAUAAGUUACCAAAUUUUCUUCAUUCCAAGUGAGUAUUCCCUGGAUUAUUUCAUAAUUAAGGCUAUAAAAUGGAGUUAAGUAUAACGAAAAAAGUGCAGUUGAGGAGUUCAGGGUUGAAGACAAAGCGAUGUCUAGAUUGUCUGGUAACUUUAAAAUUCUAGUCUUUCUACUUAACCUAAAUCUACCUCUGAAUUUGAUUGAUUCGAGUCCAGCUAUUUUUUAGGGUUUUGUGUAUGAGUUAAGUAACGAUUUUUCUAUGGUUGAUUUACUUUGUUGCUUUCAUUUAUAUAAUGAAACUUUGUGGCACAAUAAACUUUGCAUUAAUAAUUGAUCCUUUGUGGUGGGUUUGUUUAAUUGGCCUAUUAAGACGAGA